CGCACUGAUGACCAGUGGGACCAAGGGCCUUUGGUGGUUAAAUAUGCCUUUAUAUACAUGGAUACCAGAUGCAUGUGCUUAGAAAGAUGAUUUUUGAUUAAGAACUCAGAGCAAGAGUAUCUUUAAUGGUGUAUACAAAUUUGACAAACAACGCAUUUUAAUGUCUGAUAACUACAUUUCCUAUCCAUCAGUUCUACUUCAUGAAAGUUAGUUUUGGUUUGUGAGUGCAUUAAAUGUUUUACAGCAGAUUCUUUAGCUACAUUAUCAAAACUUAUCUGGGUGGCAAGUUUAUGGGACUUACUGACCAAAAGGUCAUGGUGAAUAGCUGUAAGUCAUAAAGUAGAUGAAAUUCUUGACCAAGAUGUAUCCUUCAGUAGUUUCUUCAAAGUGUCUAAAUAUGUUUCCAGCCCUCUAUUGGUUUACCACCAAAAUAUUUGUAUUUCAAAGAUCUGUGCAAAGAUUUGGCGUGCAUGUUGGUGUUAAUGCCUGCGUUCUUUUGAUAACACUGGGCCCAUGACUUCAUGCACUCUUUAUUUUGAAAGUAGCAUUCCAAUAUGUAGCUGUAACUAUCAUCUGUCAUGAAAUAAUUGGGUACCAAAACCGAUAUUAAUGAUUUUAUUUCACCAACCAGAACCUCUUAUAUGUUGGUGUCCUUUCAGUUGGACAGAAUAAAUGUUACUGGAUAAUCAAUAUUUUUAUCAUCUAACACAUGGACUUGUGGUCAAUUCAAUGUCAUAGAGGUUUGUCCCAUGUGUGCCAUCUACACAAAUGAUUUUGGCGCCAUAUUUUUUUAACAUAUACUCCAGCCCACUGUACAUGGAAGCUAAUGCAGUCAUUUUUGUGCAAUUUUUCAUGUUCUGAUGCACAACAACAUUUUCCUUACUUCAUUUACCAGAUAUAUUAUUUUUUCUGCAAUGUGGGGAAUGUCUUUCAUAGUCAGAAGAUUAAAUCUGGUACAUGAACUGAGUUCUAGAUUUUUAACAGUUUCAAUUAUUUUUUCGUGUGUUACACCAGUGCGAAUUUGUUCAACUAGAUAUGUCGUUUCUUUUGUAGUCAGGGGUUGACAGCGAAGAUCAUUGUGAUGAACAACAUGAAUAGCAAUAAACUGAACAAGUACCACUGAGGAAGAAUGAUCAAAGUGAGCUGUAAUUCGUGAAGGACAGACUCCUUGCAUUUUGAUACUGCCACUAAUUUUAGGAGCUCGUAUAUUACAUUUACUAACAGAAUUUGCUAGAUUACUUCUGACAUUCAUAGUAGAAAAUAAUAAUUCGUCAUAUAAAAGAAUUAGUUUUUAACUCUAAAUCCGCUUUUCGUGUAAAAAAAAUCUUCCGUUUUCUUAAAUUGUAGAUCCUUUACUUCCAACUCAAUGUUAUAAACGAUGUUGAAAUGAUUCGUUAAUAAGUGAAAACGCUGAAAGUUUUCAAAGCAUAGCGGACAAAUUAUUCUGCUAGUUUUUAAUAUUUUUGAAAUUGUCGCCGUGAAAAUAUCUUAGAUGUCGAUUUGUACUUGAAAUUAUUUCACACAAUAAGCACAUUUUGUUAACACUUCAAACUUUUGGAUGCUCAUACUGAAAUAUGUUUUGUCAUGUCUAGUGCUUGUUUUUACUUAAUAAAAUAAUAGAACUUUA